rnacentral:rRNA from 1 species
GACGAACGCUGGCGGCGUGCUUAACACAUGCAAGUCGAACGGAAAGGCCCUGCUUUUGUGGGGUGCUCGAGUGGCGAACGGGUGAGUAACACGUGAGUAACCUGCCCUUGACUUUGGGAUAACUUCAGGAAACUGGGGCUAAUACCGGAUAGGAGCUCCUGCUGCAUGGUGGGGGUUGGAAAGUUUCGGCGGGUGGGGAUGGACUCGCGGCUUAUCAGCUUGUUGGUGGGGUAGUGGCUUACCAAGGCUUUGACGGGUAGCCGGCCUGAGAGGGUGACCGGCCACAUUGGGACUAAGAUACGGCCCAGACUCCUACGGGAGGCAGCAGUGGGGAAUCUUGCACAAUGGGCGGAAGCCUGAUGCAGCAACGCCGCGUGCGGGAUGACGGCCUUCGGGUUGUAAACCGCUUUCGCCUGUGACGAAGCGUGAGUGACGGUAAUGGGUAAAGAAGCACCGGCUAACUACGUG